AAAAAGACAAACCCUGAUUUCCGUGCCCAACGUUUGACCGUCCUUCUUAUUUGAAAAAAUUAUGAAAAAAAUUUAAAAAGACAAGUCACGCAUAAAAUAUUAAUCAUGUUUUAUCAUCUAACAACAAUGAAAAUACGAAUUAUUAAAAAAUUUCAUAUAAGACGGACAGUCAAAGUUGGACAUGGAAACCUAGGG
rnacentral:pre_miRNA from 1 species